AUACGGAGGGUGCGAGCGUUAAUCGGAAUUACUGGGCGUAAAGCGUACGUAGGCGGAUCGAUCAGUCAGAGGUGAAAUCCCAGGGCUCAACCCUGGAACUGCCUUUGAUACUGUCGAUCUAGAAUCCAGAAGAGGUGAGUGGAAUUCCGAGUGUAGAGGUGAAAUUCGUAGAUAUUCGGAGGAACACCAGUGGCGAAGGCGGCUCACUGGUCUGGUAUUGACGCUGAGGUACGAAAGCGUGGGGAGCAAACGGGAUUAGAAACCCCAGUAGUCC
rnacentral:rRNA from 1 species